ACGGGUCUAUAAAACAGAUGUCACGAUUGUGGAUCUGUCUGUUCUUCUAUGAUGUGUCUGCGUGUGUGUAUGUGUGUGUGUGUACGGUGUGGUGCGUUAUGCGUUUUACGUAUAUGCGUGUAUGAGUGUGUGUGUUGGGUGUCUCUGUGUCUGUGUUAGAGUCGCGUUGCUGUCAGUUGUGUUUACCUUAUCAGCUGGGUGGUCACGUGUACGCUGUCACCAGCCUUGCCGUGCGCAGCACCGCUCAGCUGUAAUCAGUGGACCACAGGUUCCGGUCGCUGAGUUCUGGUCGUGUGUCGCGGGGAGAGCUCUGUGUUUGGACUCUUGUACCUUUCUGUUGGCGGCUCUCUGAUCUUGUUCUUCAGUGCUCCCUGUUCGAUUUACAUUUCCUGCUGCUCGCUUGACUCACUCAUCAUCUUCCUGCGUUCUUCCUUCUGUCAUUCUGUCUGAGUCAAUAAAUAAUUAUUUUACUUGCAA